AUGCAUACAAAGUGGAAUCAAUGUAUGUCUAACAUCAGCCAGAAAACAGGAUUCCACAGGUUUGGGGGUGGCAGUCUAGUCGUGAUCAUAAAUCUUGCAGAGGAGCAGAAAAGAUCUGGAACUAUGAAAAGAUUCUGUGAAGCUACUGGAAGGCCAACCAUGGAGAAAGAAAUUGACAGCAGAAGAAAACAGAUUGAUAGUGGAAUGCUAUUACAGAGCAAAUCUAUCAGCCCAAAAUUUCCAAAAGACAAUGUAUACCAUCUGGAAAAUGUUUUCCCUCACUCUACUGUAACAGAACAGUGAUUACACAACCAAAUAUGAUAUAUUACCUAAAUAAAAUAUUCUCAAUAAUAAACUUGAAGAAUUGCAAAGAAAGGUCAAUAAGGAAAUAGAACAAAGAAGGAUGAAGAAGAAUCAAUGGUAACUGCUAACUUAGAAAAAGCAUCUGGGCCACUAACUGAAAAUUGGAAAUUUAGAAAAUGAAGAGAUGUUGGAAGAAAAUUUAGAAAGAAAACAAGUAUGGAUUUUUACUAAUCUACAAAGUGAACGAUAUAGAAAAAAAACUGGAGGAAAUUUACAGCACUGAGAACUGGAAAUGCUACUAAAGUUAAAACUUUGUCAAAGAAAGAACUAAAACAUCUAUAUCAACUUUGCAGUUCUAGCACAUCCAAAAGUUAUAUUUUUGGAUACAACCAAUUACUGUAUAGCAUAGCAACAAUAGUCUAAAGAGAGGUACUAUAUGCAAUUGAAAACUAAAGAAAACAGAAAUAGAUGGGAAACCAAAAUGUGAAACUCUUCUUGGUAAAAUUCAAAAAGAUGCUAGUACAGUAGAGUCUCACUUAUCCAACAUAAACGGGCCAGCAGAACGUUGGAUAAGCAGAAUGUUGGAUAAUAAGGAGGGAUUAAGGAAAACUUAUUAAACAUCAAAUUAGGUUAUGAUUUUACAUAUUAAGCACCAAAACAUCAUGUUAUACAACAAAUUUGACAGAAAAAGUAGUUUAAUACGCAGUAAUGCUAAGUAGUAAUUACUGUAUUUACGAAUUUAGCACCAAAAUAUCAUGAUGUAUUGAAAACAUUGACUACAAAAAUGCGUUGGAUAAUCCAGAACUUUGGAUAAGCGAGUGUUGGAUCAGUGAGACUCUACUGUACUUGAAAAACAUUACAGGAUUGAAGGUUUUAAAAUGUACAAAAAAGACGCACAAAUUGUGGUGUUUGCAACUCAGCGCCUGGAGUGAUGUUAGCUGGAGCAAUGAGGUGAUCAGAGAAGGGAGGUGGAAAGAAGGAAGUGAUUCCUCCUUUCUCCCUUCCUACCUUCUGUGUCUCUUGGUUGCUCUGGUUAGUGUUAUUACAGCACCAUUUCAUGCCCAGUUGUUACCAUAAAAUAAAGAGUGAUGAAGCAGUAAUAAUAAUAAUAAACUUUAUUUACAUCCUGCCACCAUCUCCCUGAAGGGACUGAGGCGGUUCACAGAAGCACUACAAGUGCUAAACAUAAAAUAAACAGUACAUAAACAUGAACAUGAAAACUAUCAAGGUAAAGGUAGGUGUCCAGCAGAACCAAAACAGUUCCAAACUGGGCUGUAUGGCUGCUUUCUGGUCUCCAGGUUAGUUUGGAGUGUUAAGUGUAGACACUAGGCAUGGGCAAACCUUCGGAAUAAAUCAUUUAUCAUAAAUCUGUUAUUCAAAAUAGAUCCAAAGGGUUUUCCGAGGUGGUUUGGCUCUUCAGAAUUAACCUUCCAAUUCAAAGCAUUGGUGCCCAUGCCUCUAAAUACCUUCGGAUAACCUUUGGAUAUAUGGGAAAGUGUUUUAAUUCAACCAACCUUUGCUAUUCAGGAGAGAAAUCUCCCUUCACGUUUUGGAGUGGUUGCUUUAAACUGGCUUCAGAAGUGGAGGGAGCCUGGAUCUUGACUUCCUACGCUUAAACUUGGGCUUGCAAAAGUGGAGGGAGGAUCGCUCCUGCAAACCACUUCGUCUUCCCACACUUAAACCCAGGCUUGCAAAAGUGGAGGGAGGAUCUCCCUUGCAAACCACUUCAUCUUCCCACCCUUAAACCGGGGCUUGCAGAAAGGAGAGAGCCUGAUAAUUGCAGGACUUUAAUUCUGCAGGAUCUCCCUUGCAAAAUCCCUCCUGCCUUUGCCAGAAACUUUAAGUGAGGAAAGGGGGAAACGGACAGGGGAAUCAAUCCCAAUGUGCUGGCAAAACCCCAAAGUAGAACUCUCCAUAGAAAGCAAACUAUCACCCUUCUAAGGAUUUUCACUAUUAUUUUAAAUUACCCUGAUAUUAUUAUUAUUAUUAUUAUUAUUAUUAUUAUUAUUAUUAUUAUUAUUAUUAUUAUUAUUAUUGGCACCCCACUUUUCUCUCUAGAUUUGAGACAGAAAGGGACUCAAAAUUCGUCAAAGAUGAUAGGAUAAGGAAAACGUUCUGAAAUUUGGUGAGCUAACAGUGGUAAACGUGUUCUACCACUGUAUCCAAUUUCAUUAGGAUAGCUCAAAAAUGAGGGAGAAAGAGGCCCCUCAAUUUUCCCCAUUGACUAUAAUGUUUUUCUUUAUGCACAUACGGAUCCUCCAUUAACAAAGUACAUAUGAAGCUUCAGAAACUUCAGAAAGUUUUGAAUUUUUUUGCUUCAAAAUUCGGAAAUGACUUUAGAAAUGAAGCAUCAGCGCCCCCUAUUUUAGAAGCGAGUAUUGAACCAUUUUUUUCAUGGAUCGCAAAUGCCUAGUAGACACCUAGCAACUUCAAGUUGACUCUGUAGCUAGCUCUGCAGAACUGAUCCAGAGUAUCUCACUCAGGUUCAAUAUUGCCAUUUGUGGCUCAUGUAGAUGGGCCCUGGAUAGCAAAAAAAUAGUACAAUGCUUAUGUAAAUCAGUUUGAACAGAAUAUCUCGUUUAUUUAUUUAUUUACUAUACUUUUACCCCGCCCUUCUCACCCCGGAGGGGACUCAGGGCAGCUUGACAAUGUAACAGUAAUUCAAUGCCUUUAAAACAAAAAACAAAGAACGUCAUUUAAAAUACACAGACACCGAAGGCCAGCAGUGGCGGAGCAACGCUUGGGGCCUCCCGCUGCUGCGUAGGGAUCAGAUCAAACCGCGGCCACCUCUGUCCUUGUAGCCUCGCCCAUACAAUUAAAACACAAUUAAAACCAUUAACAUCACAUGAUCCAUUCAACAUAACCUACAAAUGUUUUAUAAAACACUUUCAGAAGAAAGUUCCAAUAGAAUUACCCUGUCAGAUAAAGAUGACAGUUAUGUUUUGGAGGACACUGUGGAAUCAACAAAAAUUAUAACAAAAUGUGGAAGCAUAAUUAAUAUCAAGAGAGAUAGAAGUCAUUACAAUUAGAAUUUUAAAAAAUGCAAAACAAAGAAAAAACUUGAGCAGCCUGCAGAAGAUUUUUCACUCAAGGUUAUCACUGCAGUUUAACAUCACAGUGAAAACAACUCUUAUUGUAGAAGAAUAGAUGGCAACAAGAAAAACAGUUUUGAUUAUGAAAGAUGGGAAACCAAGAGAUACCUCUGAAAAUUACUGUCUGUUUAUUAACAAUGUUCAAACUAUUGACAGAAAAAAUAAUAAACAAAAUUCACUCCCAUCCAAUCCAAAAUUCUUGUUAUUCAGGGAAACGAGGAAGAAAAAACCAACUAGCAUGUCUAUAGAGGCAUAUAGACAUAAUAUUUUGGAUGCUAAAGAACAAAAUGCACCUAUAGAAUUGCUUUGAGGCCUGGCAAAAUACGUUGGUACAUAGCUAAAAGGGUUAAAAAAUGGAAAACUGAAAAAAAGACAUGGAAAGUCAUAUUUAUGCCCAAAGGCCAGGUGUAUCAGACAAAGAGCAUAAAAGGAAAUACUGAAAAUGAUGAAUAGUAAAAAAAAAAUGAACAUAUUGACUAAUUUAUCAGUUUGUAUAGCAAGAUAACAGUGGAUAUGAAAAAUGGCAUAAAGUGAUUGCAAUAAUACAUUGAAAUCUAUGCAAAAAAAUAAAAUAAAAACUAUCAUCUGCAAAAAAGAGUGGAAAUAUUUGCCUAGAAAAGUUGUGAUACAAAAAUCCUAUGGGACCUUAACAUUCAAACUGACAAGCAAUUAGAGCAUAAUAUGCCAAACAACUAUGUCUGAGAGAAAGAAAUCUUGGAUUACAGAAAUUGCAAUCUCAGGGGACAGUAGAAUCAAAGGCAAGGAGAUGGAAAAGAUUAUGAAAUAUUAAGACCUACAAACUGAGACUAAUUGCCUCUGGGGGAAAAAAAACCCAACAACUAUGGCCCUUAUAAUGAAAGCACUUUAGGAACAAUUCCAAUUGGACUUAAAAACAUCUGAAUGAAAUCAACAUAUAUAGGAUAGCAGCAGCACAACUAUAAAAAGGAAUGUGCCACAUUGUCCAAUGAGACCCCACAGAUUUCUAGAUUAUUUGAUAGCAUUUCAAUUAUUGGUCAUCUAAAACUGUAGUCCAUAAUACUCAAUAGACUGUGGCCGCUUCUACGCUGCCAUAUAAUCCAGAUUAUCAAAUUUGAUAAUCCAUAUUAUCUACUUUAAACUGGAUUCUAUGAGUCUAUACUGCCAUAUAAUACAGUUAAAAGCAGAUAAUCUAAUUUUUAUAUGGCAGUGUAGAAGGGGCCUGAGAAACUCAGACAAUAAGGGAACACAUGGGGAACUGCAAUAACAACCUUCAAUGUAAACUCAAAUCUAUACUCAUUCUAUACUGACCACUAAUCCAUUUCCACAACAC
rnacentral:lncRNA from 1 species